GAUGAACGCUGGCGGCGUGCCUAAUACAUGCAAGUCGAGCGAAUGGAUUAAGAGCUUGCUCUUAUGAAGUUAGCGGCGGACGGGUGAGUAACACGUGGGUAACCUGCCCAUAAGACUGGGAUAACUCCGGGAAACCGGGGCUAAUACCGGAUAACAUUUUGAACCGCAUGGUUCGAAAUUGAAAGGCGGCUUCGGCUGUCACUUAUGGAUGGACCCGCGUCGCAUUAGCUAGUUGGUGAGGUAACGGCUCACCAAGGCAACGAUGCGUAGCCGACCUGAGAGGGUGAUCGGCAACACUGGGACUGAGACACGGCCCAGACUCCUACGGGAGGCAGCAGUAGGGAAUCUUCCGCAAUGGACGAAAGUCUGACGGAGCAACGCCGCGUGAGUGAUGAAGGCUUUCGGGUCGUAAAACUCUGUUGUUAGGGAAGAACAAGUGCUAGUUGGAUAAGCUGGCACCUUGACGGUACCUAACCAGAAAGCCACGGCUAACUACGUGCCAGCAGCCGCGGUAA
rnacentral:rRNA from 1 species